UACGUAGGGUGCAAGCGUUGUCCGGAAUUAUUGGGCGUAAAGAGCUCGUAGGCGGUUUGUCGCGUCUGCUGUGAAAACUCGGGGCUUAACUCCGGGCCUGCAGUGGGUACGGGCAGACUAGAGUUCGGUAGGGGAGACUGGAAUUCCUGGUGUAGCGGUGAAAUGCGCAGAUAUCAGGAGGAACACCGGUGGCGAAGGCGGGUCUCUGGGCCGAUACUGACGCUGAGACGCGAAAGCGUGGGGAGCGAACAGG
rnacentral:rRNA from 1 species